rfam:Microcebus murinus cont1.167016, whole genome shotgun sequence.
CCUCUCCCCCUCUUGCUCGGAAGAGAGCGACUGCUCAGGUGGGGUGAAGAAAUAUAGUAUAAAUUUUUUUUCAAAAAAAACGAAAACCCGGCUCCUUUUCAUCCCCCUCCCGCGGCAGUGUGCUACCCGGCGCUUUUAUUUGCAAGCCUUUACCG